GGGAAUGUGGCUUAGUGGUAGAGUGCUUGCCUUGCUUAGCAUGCAUGAAGCCCUGGGUUCGAGUCCCCAAUACCA
rnacentral:tRNA from 1 species